rnacentral:rRNA from 1 species
AUGGUCCUACGGGGGGCAGCAGUGGGGAAUAUUGCACAAUGGGGGAAACCCUGAUGCAGCGACGCCGCGUGAGUGAAGAAGUAUUUCGGUAUGUAAAGCUCUAUCAGCAGGGAAGAAGUUGACGGUACCUGAGUAAGAAGCCCCGGCUAACUACGUGCCAGCAGCCGCGGUAAUACGUAGGUGGCGAGCGUUAUCCGGAAUGAUUGGGCGUAAAGGGUGCGUAAGCGGCCUGCUAAGUCUGGAGUGAAAGGUACCGGCUCAACCGGUACAGGCUCUGGAAACUGGCGGGCUAGA